UUUUUCAUCAAGUGGAUCUAGAAAGCUGAGGCUGUCUCUGAUUCUGCUGUGGCUCCGUCCCUUGUGGAAGGACGGGAGGGCAGGACGAGGGGACAGAUCAGCAAGAUUCUUGGACAUGGUUUUUAUUCCCUGAAGAAUGUGCUUGGGUCCGUUCCAGCAUUCGCUCUGAAAUCAGAUGUGCAGUUAAGAGUUAAGGAAAACCUUCAAGGGAGCCAGGCCAAAAGGUGUGAGCACUGUUUUUGGCUCAAUUGGAGAACCUGUCCUCUUCAGCUAGAGAAGGCGGAGGCCCAGGGCAGAGGUCUGUGCGGGCGGUGUGCUGGGGUAUGGGGCUCCCGCUGAAACAGCAUGCUGUGUGCUGCCACUAAUGUGUGCUGAGCUGGCAUUCUGGUUCCUUCACCAGGCUGCACGGGGCAGGAAUUUCGCAGCCCCACUCUCAUGUUGUCGAAAUAGCUAAACGUUUGCUUCCUACCUACUCCUAUACUGAUUUCUGAACAACAUUUACUUACAAUCACCUCAAGGGCCCAUGGAUUUUACAGGUAACAAGGCUACAAAUAGAUACUUUCUGAAAAACCUUGGCUGACUCACACGCAGACCCACCAGUUGAGAACUGUACUUUUAUUAGUCCGGGUUUCUGUGGCCCAUCAUUAAUGGAGGCGAUUGGUAUACCAACAGACCACUGAGGACACGUACAGAUUUGACCUAUCCUGGAAUCUCUGCAGAGUCCACAUGUAACUGAAAGACAUAAGCUGGAGGUCUUCCUCAAGCUACACGAACCUGGCACUCAGUCUCUUCCCUGCACCUGCACAAUGAAGGUGCCGGGGCCAUAUGAUCUCCCAGGUACCCCUUGCAGAUCCAACGCCCGCAAUCACAGAUUCGGGAAACCAGAGGCCAGGAUCACAGAACCGUGCGGGCAGGCCCAGUGCAGCUCCUCCGAACAGGGUCUGAACUACACAUUCACGUGUCCCGCUCGGCCAGUGCUGAGGAUACCCACACUUGUCCUGACCUCACGCUGCCCAUCAGAUGGCACGUGACCCACGCCCUGCUCUCGGACACCCCCCGCCCCGCAGCCGGGCCUAAGCCAGAGGUGUGCUCUUUCCAAGGCUGUCUUCUGCUUUUUCACUGCAGUGCAGAAGGCACCGCGGCUCUACACAAGCUUCGUUGUCCUUUUAUGGUAGAAAAAUGAAUUGCUUGCCCAGCAGUGGAGCUGAGAGAGAUGACAGAACGGAAAGUUGUCAUUUGUUGUGGUUCUGGCAGCAACAGAAGAGAGCGUUCUCCCCUCAGCCACCCUGGGAUGGACAGUGCACGCCAGGCAUUCAGCGGGGGAAAAGCAAACCCAGCCAAACUGCUCCCAGAGGCAUUCCUCCCUUGCCUGGCCUGUGAACGGAUGUGUUUAUUUAUGAAGAGUGUCAAGAUUUAUUUUGGGGGAAAUGCACUUUUUACAAAACAAGGUAUAAAAAGGCUGUUUUGUGUUCUGCUAGAAGCUCUUAACAGAGGUACCCCAGAAAACACGGUUCCAAUCAGAUCGCAUCCAAGGAACGGGCUUCAUUUCCUUGCAGGAUGAGGCUAUGGGACUGGAGCUGGGCGGGGAGGUGACCUCGCUCAGAAGGGGGGGGGGGGGGCGCAGCUGUUGCUGAAGGAAGCCCAGCUCAGCCCACUGCCUGUCUGUCUCUGGCUCAGCUCGGAGGGAUGGGGGAGUAGCCACCAACUCCAGAUAAAUACAUUCCUGGGAAAAACACACCAAUAUCCAAGUCCCUGGGGUAAUAAACAGCAGUUGGUACCACAGGGCCUUAAAUUGUUUGCAUUUCUGUCAGGAGGCCCACAGAAAAAAAGCAGGCCUCCCAGCAGCUGGGAAAACAUGUUGCAAAAGGAGAAUUAGGCAAUUCUCUGUAUGCACACUGGAGUUAGGGAAAUUAAGCUUAUCUGAGUGAGAGAAAUUAAGCUUAUCCAACAUGCUUUCAGCUGGAAAACAAGCCAUUUUAAAUGGGUGGGGGAAAAAACUUUGUGAUGGUUACAUGGUUUCUUCCAUAUUUAAAGCACCCAAGGACUAAAAAAUCACGCUGGCCACCGAGUGGUAGCUAAGUAGCAGCCACUAAAAGAGGGGCCAAACGUCCAGUUUUCCUACAGCCAGCAAUGCAGACCCUUCCGCGCAGCAGGGGGUGUGCUCCAGAGAUAGCCAGCCUCUGGACAUGUGCACCCAGGAUGUGUCCACCUGGCCUGUGAACGGAUGUGUUUAUUUAUGAAGAAUGUCAAGAUUUAUUUCCUUGCACUGUCUCUGCCUCUAUCAUCGCUCGUAACCACUGCUGCCUUUACCUUCCAGCCUCCCGCGCC